rnacentral:rRNA from 1 species
UACAGAGGUCCCAAGCGUUGUUCGGAUUCAUUGGGCGUAAAGGGUGCGUAGGCGGCGCGGUAAGGUCGGGUGUGAAAUCUCGGAGCUUAACUCCGAAACUGCAUUCGAUACUGCCGUGCUUGAGGACUGGAGAGGAGACUGGAAUUUACGGUGUAGCGGUGAAAUGCGUAGAUAUCGUAAGGAAGACCAGUGGCGAAGGCGGGUCUCUGGACAGUUCCUGACGCUGAGGCACGAAGGCCAGGGGAGCAAACGGG